rnacentral:rRNA from 1 species
AGUGAACGCUGGCGGUAGGCCUAACACAUGCAAGUCGAACGGCAGCACAGUAAGAGCUUGCUCUUACGGGUGGCGAGUGGCGGACGGGUGAGGAAUACAUCGGAAUCUACUUUUUCGUGGGGGAUAACGUAGGGAAACUUACGCUAAUACCGCAUACGACCUACGGGUGAAAGCAGGGGAUCUUCGGACCUUGCGCGAUUGAAUGAGCCGAUGUCGGAUUAGCUAGUUGGCGGGGUAAAGGCCCACGAAGGCGACGAACCGUAGCUCGUCUGAGAGGAUGAUCAGCCACACUGGAACUGAGACACGGUCCAGACUCCUAAGGGAGGCAGCAGUGGAGAAUAUUGGACGAUGGACGCAAGCCUGAUCCAGCCAUACCGCGUGGGUGAAGAAGGCCUUCGGGUUGUAAAGCCAUUUUGUUGGGAAAGAAAAGCAGCAGGUUAAUACCCCGCUGUUCUGACGGUACCCAAAGAAUAAGCACCGGCUAACUUCGUG